rnacentral:rRNA from 1 species
CCUACGGGGGGCUGCAGUGAGGAAUAUUGGUCAAUGGACGAGAGUCUGAACCAGCCAAGUAGCGUGAAGGAUGACUGCCCUAUGGGUUGUAAACUUCUUUUAUAAAGGAAUAAAACGAGGCACGUGUGCCUUUUUGCAUGUACUUUAUGAAUAAGGAUCGGCUAACUCCGUGCCAGCAGCCGCGGUAAUACGGAGGAUCCGAGCGUUAUCCGGAUUUAUUGGGUUUAAAGGGAGCGUAGAUGGGUUGUUAAGUCAGUUGUGAAAGGUUGCGGCUCAACCGUAAAAUUGCAAUUGAUACUGGCAGUCUUGAGUACAGUUGAGGUAGGCGGAAUUCGUGGUGUAGCGGUGAAAUGCUUAGAUAUCACGAAGAACCCCGAUUGCGAAGGCAGCUUACUAAACUGUGACUGACAUUGAUGCUCGAAAGUGUGGGUAUCAAACAGGAUUAGAUACCCCUGUAGUC